GGAGAACGCUAGCUACAGGCUUAACACAUGCAAGUUCGAGGGGCAGCAUGGUCUUAGCUUUGCUAAGGCCGAUGGCGACCGGCGCACGGGUGAGUAACACGUAUCCAACCUGCCGUCUACUCUUGGACAGCCUUCUGAAAGGAAGAUUAAUACAAGAUGGCAUCAUGAGUCCGCAUGUUCACAUGAUUAAAGGUAUUCCGGUAGACGAUGGGGAUGCGUUCCAUUAGAUAGUAGGCGGGGUAACGGCCCACCUAGUCUUCGAUGGAUAGGGGUUCUGAGAGGAAGGUCCCCCACAUUGGAACUGAGACACGGUCCAAACUCCUACGGGAGGCAGCAGUGAGGAAUAUUGGUCAAUGGGCGAGAGCCUGAACCAGCCAAGUAGCGUGAAGGAUGACUGCCCUAUGGGUUGUAAACUUCUUUUAUAAAGGAAUAAAGUCGGGUAUGGAUACCCGUUUGCAUGUACUUUAUGAAUAAGGAUCGGCUAACUCCGUGCCAGCAGCCGCGGUAAUACGGAGGAUCCGAGCGUUAUCCGGAUUUAUUGGGUUUAAAGGGAGCGUAGAUGGAUGUUUAAGUCAGUUGUGAAAGUUUGCGGCUCAACCGUAAAAUUGCAGUUGAUACUGGAUAUCUUGAGUGCAGUUGAGGCAGGCGGAAUUCGUGGUGUAGCGGUGAAAUGCUUAGAUAUCACGAAGAACUCCGAUUGCGAAGGCAGCCUGCUAAGCUGCAACUGACAUUGAGGCUCGAAAGUGUGGGUAUCAAACAGGAUUAGAUACCCUGGUAGUCCACACGGUAAACGAUGAAUACUCGCUGUUUGCGAUAUACUGCAAGCGGCCAAGCGAAAGCGUUAAGUAUUCCACCUGGGGAGUACGCCGGCAACGGUGAAACUCAAAGGAAUUGACGGGGGCCCGCACAAGCGGAGGAACAUGUGGUUUAAUUCGAUGAUACGCGAGGAACCUUACCCGGGCUUAAAUUGCAGAUGAAUUACGGUGAAAGCCGUAAGCCGCAAGGCAUCUGUGAAGGUGCUGCAUGGUUGUCGCCAGCUCGUGCCGUGAGGUGUCGGCUUAAGUGCCAUAACGAGCGCAACCCUUGUUGUCAGUUACUAACAGGUUCCGCUGAGGACUCUGACAAGACUGCCAUCGUAAGAUGUGAGGAAGGUGGGGAUGACGUCAAAUCAGCACGGCCCUUACGUCCGGGGCUACACACGUGUUACAAUGGGGGGUACAGAGGGCCGCUACCACGCGAGUGGAUGCUAAUCCCCAAAACCUCUCUCAGUUCGGACUGGAGUCUGCAACCCGACUCCACGAAGCUGGAUUCGCUAGUAAUCGCGCAUCAGCCACGGCGCGGUGAAUACGUUCCCGGGCCG
rnacentral:rRNA from 1 species